rnacentral:misc_RNA from 1 species
AACCAUAGAAACCUGCGGAGUACCUGCGGAAGGAUCAUUAUCGAGUUGCAAAACUCCAACCCUUUGUGAACAUACCUCAGUCGUUGCUUCGGCGGUGGACGGCCUUUUUUCGAAAAGGCCCGAAGCCGCCGGAGGUUCCAAACUCGUGUUUUGUUUAGUGUAUCUCUGAGCCUGAAAACAAAUAAUCAAAACUUUCAACAACGGAUCU